GUAGGUGAAGUGAUUUACUCAUGGAGCUGAAGUCAGUCGAAGAUACCAGCUGGCUGCAACUGUUUAUUAAAAACACAGCACUGUGCAAACACGAAAGUGGACGUAUACGGUGUGACGCCUGCCCGGUGCCGGAAGGUUAAUUGAUGGGGUCAGCGCAAGCGAAGCUCCUGAUCGAAGCCCCGGUAAACGGCGGCCGUAACUAUAACGGUCCUAAGGUAGCGAAAUUCCUUGUCGGGUAAGUUCCGACCUGCACGAAUGGCGUAAUGAUGGCCAGGCUGUCUCCACCCGAGACUCAGUGAAAUUGAACUCGCUGUGAAGAUGCAGUGUACCCGCGGCAAGACGGAAAGACCCCGUGAACCUUUACUAUAGCUUGACACUGAACAUUGAGCCUUGAUGUGUAGGAUAGGUGGGAGGCUUUGAAGUGUGGACGCCAGUCUGCAUGGAGCCGGCCUUGAAAUACCACCCUUUAAUGUUUGAUGUUCUAACGUGGACCCGUGAUCCGGGUUGCGGACAGUGUCUGGUGGGUAGUUUGACUGGGGCGGUCUCCUCCUAAAGAGUAACGGAGGAGCACGAAGGUUGGCUAAUCCUGGUCGGACAUCAGGAGGUUAGUGCAAUGGCAUAAGCCAGCUUGACUGCGAGCGUGACGGCGCGAGCAGGUGCGAAAGCAGGUCAUAGUGAUCCGGUGGUUCUGAAUGGAAGGGCCAUCGCUCAACGGAUAAAAGGUACUCCGGGGAUAACAGGCUGAUACCGCCCAAGAGUUCAUAUCGACGGCGGUGUUUGGCACCUCGAUGUCGGCUCAUCACAUCCUGGGGCUGAAGUAGGUCCCAAGGGUAUGGCUGUUCGCCAUUUAAAGUGGUACGCGAGCUGGGUUUAGAACGUCGUGAGACAGUUCGGUCCCUAUCUGCCGUGGGCGCUGGAGAACUGAGGGGGGCUGCUCCUAGUACGAGAGGACCGGAGUGGACGCAUCACUGGUGUUCGGGUUGUCAUGCCAAUGGCACUGCCCGGUAGCUAAAUGCGGAAGAGAUAAGUGCUGAAAGCAUCUAAGCACGAAACUUGCCCCGAGAUGAGUUCUCCCUGAGACUUUAGGUCUCCUGAAGGAACGUUGAAGACGACGACGUUGAUAGGCCGGGUGUGUAAGCGCAGCGAUGCGUUGAGCUAACCGGUACUAAUGAACCGUGAGGCUUAACCUU
rnacentral:rRNA from 1 species